UGUUAGCUGUGAUGAAGUUUCAACAAAUUCUUCUGAAGAGAAGACGCCAAAAUUAGAAUCGGACAAAUCUGCACUUUGUCAAAAGUUGCCAGAAAUUGAGAAAAGAAAAGAGGUUAGGGAAGAGACAGAGGAGGAGGAGAGGAGGAGGAGAGUUUAUGAAUAUACUUCUGGUGAAGAUGAUGAUUACGUCCGGCCAGACGGUACACGGAGGAGGACUCGAGAAGAGUGGGCUUUAUACUACAAACAAAUUAAGGAGAGCGAGGGAUUUGAUGUUGAUCCAUUUCCGGGCACGUUUGAAUUUGGUCUUACGGCGCUAACAAAUUUCGAAGACGAAGGUCUCAUCAAAUGUGCAAAACAAGCAAUCGAGCACUUUAACAAGGAAAAUAAUACCAGCUAUGAGUUUGUGAAGAUAGAGAAGACAACUUGCAUCGUUGCAGCAGGAUAUUGGUAUAAUAUCACUUUUCUAGCCAAUAAUUAUAAGGUUGAUGAUGUUGAAGCUAGAACUCAAACUUUUCAAGCUAAAGUCUGGUAUGGACUACGCGGUGAUAUUAGUGUUUCCCUUUGCCGGCUUAAACCAGCUCCAAGUUAGUCCAAGUUAUAUUUUGAUUUAUUUAUUACUAUUUUGAUUUAGAAGUGGGUGUAUUUAGUACUUGUCCUAGGUACAUAAUAUUUCAUCCGUACUGAUUAAGAAUUGUUAAACAACUUUUUUUUAGCUA